GAUGAACGCUGACAGAAUGCUUAACACAUGCAAGUCGAUGGGGAAGUGGUGCUUGCACCAUGGCAACCAUGGCGGACGGGUGAGUAACGCGUAAGGGACUUACCUGCAGGACUGGGAUAACAGGGGGAAACUCCUGACAAGACCGGAUAAUGUCAUGGAGCUGCAUGGCUUUAUGAUGAAAGGAGACGCCUGCGGAGAGCCUUGCGUCCUAUUAGCUAGUUGGUGAGGUAAUGGCUCACCAAGGCGAAGAUAGGUAGCCGGCCUGAGAGGGUGGACGGCCACAAGGGGACUGAGAUACGGCACUUACUCCUACGGGAGGCAGCAGUGGGGAAUAGUGGACAAUGGGGGCAACCCUGAUCCAGCAAUUCUGUGUGCACGAAGAAGGUUUUCGGAUUGUAAAGUGCUUUCAGCAGGGAAGAAGUAAGUGACGGUACCUGCAGAAGAAGCGACGGCUAAAUACGUG
rnacentral:rRNA from 1 species